rnacentral:lncRNA from 1 species
AUCAUGAAAUGUGUAGCAUGAAAAUUACGUGAAGGUGACCUAUACACGUCUAUUUUCAACUAGUCCUUACUUUAUCUUAAUGAGAUCAACAUAAUAACCUUAUUAUACAGAGUGUAAUAUCCGAAUAAUAAACUGUAAUGUAUGCAUACAAGAAAACCAAACAUAGAACACAAACACACAAAGAUGACUAACUCCCACU